GGCCAAGGGAUCCUCCGCCUGGCAACCCUGGGUAUUUUGGAAAUUUGAGGCUCUUGCCUCAGGCUUUGAGAUUACUGCAAAAAUUGUGGUGGAGAAGAAGAGCUCUUCAGGCAGAGUGAGAGGUCCCCUUCAUGUACUGAAAGAUGCUAUAAGGUCUCCCUGCAGGCUGAACAGCCCAGCUCCCUCGGCCUGUCCUUAGCCUUAGUACUCUUUAAUGGAGCAAUGAAAAUGGCUGUGCGCUUGCUCCUGUGCUCUUCUUUUCAAACAACAGUGUUUGACCUUUUUUGCCUACAUUUGAAGAGGUAAGAUUUUCAAAACUUGAAAGCACUUGCUAGUCCCAUGCCAUCACCACAUCACAUCAUCAUCAAGGCAGACCCUGACCUGGAAGAAAACACCACUGGGCUGGAGGAGAGUCCCCUGCAACCACAGAUGCAAGACAGGAAAGGUGCAGAGCAUCCCUAAGACUAUUAAAGAUGUUAAAGCCACUUAAGGGAUUUGGACCUGGAGGAAAUUGAGCCUCUAAAUCUCAUUCGUGGGACUUGGAAGAAAAAACAAACAAACAAAAAAAUGAACAAAAAGCAUACAAAAGAGAUGGUAAAAUAUAAAAGCAUUAAAAAAAAAAAAAAAAAGUUCUAGCAAGUUUGCUCCUGGAGUCAUUAUGGAUUUUAGGUGAGGGGUGCUGAACUGAAGACGGGGAGUCUCUUGCUGCCAGCAUUAGGGUCCAGGAGACCACCUUGCUGGAGACUAAAAUGGGGGCAAGGGCAGCCAAGGCUGCAAGGAGCUGUGAAAGAGGUUGAAAGAGAGGAAGGGGUUGGAUGUGGAGAGGAACUGGCAGCGUCCAUGGUAGGACCCUAUGCCCCAGGCUGUGACACCCAGUACAAAGUUGCUCAUCCUCUUCUAACACUGCUCUAUGGAGGAGACCAUGGUCACCCAUGAUGACAGGGUUAGUGUGAGCAGUCAGGCUUGCACCCUACAGCUUUGGGACCCAGGUCAGUCCUGGGAUUCAUCUGAUCCCCAGCAGCACUAGCUGUAAUCAUUAACUGGGCUGAAAGUGGCCUAAUCCUGAGACACGUGGGAC